CCUGAGAAACCCAAAAGAUCGAAUGGGGAGAUUCAUCGUCAGCUGCUUUGGCUUACGUGCGGUGUGCGAUGACCGGGGCUUCGGUUCUGUGUCACGCGCCCGCUGCGUUAUGUCCGAAGUGGUCGGCGUGCACUUCUCCCCUAGUAGGACGUCGCGACCCGUUGGGUGCUGGUCUACGGCCUGGUUGUAAGUCUGACGUGUCUCGUUUACGCGUGUCACGCGUCAGACAACUGGAUGCCUGACCGGCUGCCCGGCGGUAUUGAACGAUAAUUAAACGGUAUUGAGCCGCAUCAAGUGCGUUCAGGCCCUUUGGCAGGUUUGCCUCGCUCGGAUUUAUGGACCUAGCGCCAUUGCCGGGUGCUUGGUAGAUUGUUUAGCCGAAGGUGUCCUCGGACUGGCUCUUUAUAUUCGAACGGAUAUACCGGUCGGCGACGCUACUGCUUUGGGUACUUUCAGGAC
rnacentral:rRNA from 1 species